UCUAGAACUCGAGAUAUGGGAUGAACACUGAACAGUGUCUGGGCUGUAGGACAGAUUCAGACUUCUCUGUUGUUGCCACAAUUUGGACUUGAAAACAGCCUUUUUAGAUCUUGGACUCCUCAUGAAAGUUUUAGGCAUAUGUCUUAGCUUUCCAUC
rfam:Populus trichocarpa scaffold_5_contig_310, whole genome shotgun sequence.